rnacentral:lncRNA from 1 species
CAUUUGUUAUGUGUCUGUUUAUAUGACAGUACCAUACUGAUUUGAUUACUAUGGCUUUACAAUAUAGUUUGAAAUUGAAAUGUGUGAUGCUUCCAUCUUUAUUCUUCCUCAAGAAUGCCUUGGCUAUUUUGGGUCUUUUUGGUUCCAUACUGAAGAAAGAAAAUAUGAAUUAUGCUGAAUCAUUUUUAUCCUUCUGUAUUAUGAUUUAUAUACCACAAGCAAAUAUUUAUCAGGGAAUUAACUUGGUGUCUUUCUUUGUAACUAUACUAUUAUUCUUGCCACAUAAACUGUGUCCAUUAAACUGUAACUUCCAAUUUCCCUGUCCCAUCAGCUCCUGGCAACCAAUAUUCUACAUCAUAGUUAUAGAAUGUGUUGGAAUUUCCUUCCUUCUUAAGGCUGAAUAAUUUCUUAUUGUAUGUAUAUACCACAUUUGCCUUAUCCAUUCUAUGAAUGGAAACUUGAGUUGCUUUACAUUUUAGCUGUAAUGAAUAUUGGUGCUAUGAAUGUGGGUGUGCAAAUAU